rnacentral:rRNA from 1 species
AUGGCAGGAACCCUACCAUGCCUAAUCUUUGCAGCCACCCUGAUGCUAGCAAGCAUCAAGAGCAGCACAGCGUCCAGGAUGGCGAAACCUAGGUGCCAAGAAACAUGUGGCAACCUCACCAUCCCAUACCCCUUCGGCAUCGGUGAAGGUUGCUUCCGUGAAGGGUUCGAUGUUUCAUGCGAGAACAAUAGCGUUUACAGGCAUAACUCAAGCAGCAGAAUAAAGAUCUACAACAUCAGUCUGCUAGGAGGGCAGGCCCGAGUCACCACCUUGAUUGCAUCCAAGUGCUUCAACGAGACAGGGGGAUGGGCCUGGUUAAAUACGGGUAAGUUUUUUACAAUAUCAACCAAGGCAAACAAAUUAACAGCGGUUGGAUGCAACACCCUUGCAUUCCUGGGAGGCUUUAACGAGCACAGAGUGGGAGCUGGGUGUUUCUCAAUGUGCGCAGACAGGCGAAGUGUGGAUGAAAGUGGUCAGUGCUCUGGAAUGGGCUGUUGCCAGACAUCUAUUGCGCCAAACCUCAAUUUCUCCAAUAUAACAUUUGAUGACAGAUUCGACAAUUCUGAGGUGAGUGGCUUCAACCCAUGCAGCUAUGCUUUUGUCGCUGGAAGAAGGAUGCCAAGGUCGGUAACUCACUUCCUUCUUUUGGGUUUACCUCAAGUUAUCUCUGCAUCAAUCUCAAGCUAUUUCUCUGUUCUUGAAUAUUGUGUGCAGAUAUCAACGAGUGCAAUUUCCCAGAUCAGUAUCCUUGCCAUGGAAUUUGCAGUAAUAUAAUUGGGGACUACAAUUGCUCAUGCAAGUCUGGGACUCAGAGUACAGAUCCAAAGAGAGAAACCUGCGUGUUCGACAACCAAAACUGAAAGAAUGUUAUUCUUGGCAGGUAUUUCAGCAUGUGCAGUACUUCUCCUUAUCUGCAUUUUUGCACUCCUGAUUGAAUGUCAGAAGAGAAAGCUGGUGAAAGAAAAGCAGAUAUUCUUCCAACAAAAUGGUGGCCUGCUAUUAUAUGACCAAAUCAGGUCAAAGCAAGUUGAUACAGUGAGAAUAUUCACAAGGGAAGAACUAGAGAACGCAACGAACAAUUUCGACUCAAGCAGAGAAUUAGGAAGAGGUGGCCAUGGAACUGUUUACAAGGGAAUUCUCAAAGACGGCAGAGUGGUAGCCAUAAAGCGCUCCAAGGUUAUGAACAUGGACCAGAAAGAUGAAUUUGCGCAAGAGAUUGUUAUACUUUCACAGAUAAACCACAGGAAUGUGGUAAAGCUUCUAGGAUGUUGCUUAGAAGUGGAAGUCCCAAUGUUGGUCUAUGAAUGCAUCCCAAACGGCACCCUAUUCGAGCUGAUGCAUGGUAAAAAUAGAAGAUUUCCUGUUUCACUGGAUACUCGUCUCAGGAUAGCUCAGGAAUCUGCAGAAGCAUUAGCAUAUCUACACUCAUCAGCAUCCCCUCCCAUAGUUCAUGGAGAUGUAAAAUCUCCAAACAUUCUCCUAGGCGACAACUACACAGCAAAAGUGACUGAUUUUGGAGCAUCAAGAAUGCUUCCUACGGAUGAAAUACAGUUUAUGACAAUGGUACAGGGAACUAUAGGUUAUCUUGACCCUGAAUACUUGCAAGAGCGUCAACUAACAGAGAAGAGUGAUGUUUAUAGUUUUGGAGUUGUGCUACUAGAGCUCAUUACAAUGAAGUUCGCAAUUUAUUCUGACAGUGCUGGAGAAAAGAAAAACCUUGCAUCAUCCUUCCUUCUUGCAAUGAAAGAAAAUGGACUUCAAUUCAUCUUGGACAAGAAUAUAUUAGACUUCGAAGCGGAGCUGCUCCAAGAAAUUGCUCAACUGGCAAAGUGUUGUUUGAGUAUGAGGGGGGAAGAACGGCCAUUAAUGAGAGAGGUUGCUGAGAGAUUGAGAUCAAUACGAAGCACCUGGAGAGAACAACUGAUUCAGAAUCCUAGCAGAGAAACUGAAUGUUUGCUUGAGAACUCGUCACACUAUGACCCUUCUAGCACUGGACAGCAUGGAAGUCUGAUGGCACUAGAUUUAGAAAGUGGUAGAUGA